rnacentral:rRNA from 1 species
AAUUCUCCGUGAAGAUGCGGAGUAUAAGUGCCUAGACGGGAAGACCCUGUGCUUCUUUACUAUAACCUUUCAUUGAAACCUGGUCUCUCUUGUGUAGCAUAAGUGGGAGUUUCCUAAAAACCUCGGUUAUUAGGAGACAUCAGUGAAAUACCACUCUGGAUUUACUGGGAAUCUUACCUUUUUAAGAAAAAGGGACAUUGAAUGGUGGGUAGUUUGACUGGGGUGG